GGAAUUUUGGGUCCGAAGUUGGGUAAAUAUUAGGAAAUUUCCGAUUUGGACUAAAGAUACAUAUUCAAUGAUACACAGAAAUGUUUAUAACCAUAUACUAGAAGUAACAUUUAUUAUGAAUAAACCUCCAUAAAAAGUAGUCAUUGUAUCCACACCCUCUGAUAAAUCUAAACAAUAAUCCUUAGCUGUUAACAAAGCAGGAUGGUUAAGGCCAUUUUACACUUAAUUUUAUCUCCUUAAGAAAAAAGGGCUAUGUAUAAAGGUAUAGGAAAACAUUCACAUUAUAAAGGAAAAGUAUUAGAAUGUGUUUUACUAAGUAGUUUAUAGCUGAACAAAUCAGUCAAAAAUUUAAGGUAGAUCUGAUGGUUAGUCUGUUGACCAUCUAGCUUCUUUCAUGUAGAUCUGAUGGUUAGUCUGUUAACCAUCCAGUCUCCUUAAGGUAGAUCAAAUGGGUAAUUUGUUGACCACCCAGCCCCCUCAAGUUAGAUCUUUUAAUGGGUAAUUUUGUUUUGUGCUUUGAAAAUAAACGAAAUAAUAAUGUUUAACCGGAUUGCAAGGUCGUAUAGAGCAGUACCAGUCAGUCUCUUUCAGAAUACAUGAUCACAUUUUACAUUGUGAAAAAAACCCAUCAGAUUUGUUACUGAUCCGGUUCUAAAUAUGGGCAAAAUAUGUUUUUAACUAAAAGUAUUGGAAAUAAACCCUGUCUUAGAACUAAACCAUAAAAGCUAUUUUUGUUUUUAAUUAGUGACUCACAUUACCUUUGUUGAUGCAAUAUUGAUGUGCCAAGUUGUAUUUUGUGUUACAAAUAAACAGCUACUAAAACCUGCAGUGGUUCUCAAUUUCGAGUUUUAUAUCUCUAUUGAACAUUAUUCCUCUAGAUAUUUAAUUACACAUAUAAACAUGUAUAGUAUUAAAAAGGUACAAAGAAAUCUCUGUCGAUUAAAGAUUAUUUCGUUUUAAUUAUUAGCAGUAAUUAAAGCAAUUUUCAAAAUAAACUACAAUAAAAGAC
rnacentral:sRNA from 1 species